GCAUUGGUAGUUCAGUGGUAGAAUUCUUGCCUUCGAUGCUGGAUAUCUGGGUUUGAUUCCUGCCCAAUGCA
rnacentral:tRNA from 1 species